rnacentral:rRNA from 1 species
UACGGAAGGUCCAGGCGUUAUCCGGAUUUAUUGGGUUUAAAGGGAGCGCAGGCGGACCUUUAAGUCAGCUGUGAAAUACGGCGGCUCAACCGUCGAACUGCAGUUGAUACUGGAGGUCUUGAGUGCACACAGGGAUACUGGAAUUCAUGGUGUAGCGGUGAAAUGCUCAGAUAUCAUGAAGAACUCCGAUCGCGAAGGCAGGUAUCCGGGGUGCAACUGACGCUGAGGCUCGAAAGUGCGGGUAUCAAACAGGAUUAGAUACCCGGGUAGUCCGCUGAUAU